AAUAAACGCUGGCGGCGUGCCUAACACAUGCAAGUCGCACGAGAACGCCCAUCUUCGGAAGGGCAAGUAAAGUGGCGCACGGGUGAGUAACGCGUAGGCGACCUACCCCUGUGUUCGGGAUAACAGUGCGAAAGCGCUGCUAAUACCGGAUACGACCCUUCGGGGUGAAAGCAGGCCUCUCAAAGAAGCUUGCGCGCGGGGAUGGGCCUGCGUCCUAUCAGCUAGUUGGUAGGGUAACGGCCUACCAAGGCUUCGACGGGUAGCUGGUCUGAGAGGAUGGACAGCCACACUGGGACUGGAACACGGGCGAGACUCCUACGGGAGGCAGCAGUGAGGAAUGUUGCGCAAUGGGGGAAAUCCUGACGCAGCAACGCCGCGUGGGUGAAGAAGGCCUUCGGGUCGUAAAGCCCUGUCGGGUGGGAAGAAAUCCCGGGGGAAGAAUAUACUUUCGGGUUGACGGUACCACCAAAGGAAGCACCGGCUAACUCCGUGCCAGCCGCCGCCGUAAGAC
rnacentral:rRNA from 1 species